UUCCUACGGGGGGCAGCAGUGAGGAAUAUUGGUCAAUGGGCGCGAGCCUGAACCAGCCAAGUCGCGUGAGGGAGGACGGCCCUACGGGUUGUAAACCUCUUUUGCCGGGGAGCAACGGGCGUCACGUGUGGCGCCACUGAGAGUACCCGGAGAAAAAGCAUCGGCUAACUCCGUGCCAGCAGCCGCGGUAAUACGGAGGAUGCGAGCGUUAUCCGGAUUUAUUGGGUUUAAAGGGUGCGUAGGCGGGCUUUUAAGUCAGCGGUAAAAAUUCGGGGCUCAACCCCGUCCGGCCGUUGAAACUGGGG
rnacentral:rRNA from 1 species